rnacentral:rRNA from 1 species
CCCUUAGAUGUCCUGGGCCGCACGCGCGCUACACUGAGUGUCUGAGAUACGAGUCUGCCUGGUCCGGCAAGGUCUAGGUAAUCGCUAAAAGACACAUCAUGCUUGGGAUAGAUUAUUGCAAAUAUUAAUCUUGAACGAGGAAUUCCUAGUAAGCGCAAGUCAACAGCUUGCGUUGAUUACGUCCCUGCCCUUUGUACACACCGCCCGUCGCUCCUACCGAUUGGGUGUGCUGGUGAAAUGUUCGGAUCGGCCGUUUGUCGCGGUUUCCGCGGCUCGUGGCUGAGAAGUUCAUUAAACCCUCCCACCUAGAGGAAGGAGAAGUCGUAACA